UCCAGCACACAUAGACUCUCGCCCUAAAAAACCUGAAAAACUUCUCCGCGAUUAAUUUUGUGAUUCCCUGAACUUUGCCCAUUUCUUGCUUUCAUUAGAGUUAUGUUUGAAAAGUUUCUAUUCUAGAAUUCCUGGGUUUGUUUUUGGUUUGCACAAACUGAACAUGGUUUGAAUUAGAAGUUGUUGGUUGUUUCUCCUUGCUGCUGGUCUUUUGUUGUUGUUUCUUCCUAACCUUGGGCUUGUUUUCCUUUGUUACUUCUGCUGAAAUCAGGUACCUCUUGGACUAUAUUAACAUGUGAAUCUUGAAGCUGAAGCAUGUGGAGAUGUACACUUUACUUGGCUGAAUAACAAUUCAUGUUGUUGAUAACUCACCUUUGUUCUACAUUAAACUAUGUUUCAUUACACUAUUCGUUAUAGUUACUCAUGCUAAGGACAUUACAAGUUAUAUUGGGGUUGUCUUUGGACUUUAAAUUUGUCAUUCUGAUUUCAAUUUGAAUUGAACUUUUCUAUCAUGUGAUUAGUGUUGGACUAUCAUGAGAUGGUCUCAACUGAGAUGAAGAAUUGACCUUCUUAGGUUUUGAUUGUAUUUGCUUCAAGCUGGUAAUGAUUUUUAGUCCACAGUUAACUCUGUUCAUGGGUUUCUUUACUGUCUCAUAUGUGGGUUUGGUAUCAGAAUAAAUUCAGAAGCAUGAUGUUGUAUGUUGAUGUUUGGCUCAAAUGUUUGGGGUAUUCCAUUUAUAGAACCACCAUGCGUAUGAAGUUAACAUCAAUUAGUAAUAGUUUUGAUUUUUAAGCACAUAUAUCCUGGAUGUUCAUUGAGUAUAUAAUGUCUGAAUGCUUUGCAAUCUGAUUUUAAAAGUAGGUGAAGAAUAUGUUUUACUUGAUUUAACAAGAUCAGUUAAGUCUAAUAUAGAUUAAUUUUUGGGUUACUCAUUUAUUUAAAUGCUGAACAAUAUCUCUAAAACAGUCGGGCCUAUUAAAUGGCCCAAGACUGUCCGGAUAAUUCAUCUCGCGUGUUGGAGCCUUUUCCCCAAAGGCCUGGCCCUUCUGUCAUGCUGUGAAUUAAUUUGGCCAUCUGGCUUUUCCAAGUCAAGGAAAGCAUAUGUUGGCUAUUUCUUUGAAACAACUCAUGGCCCGUUUGUGCUCACAAUUAAUAACUCCUUUAAUACCAAACCAUCUAGGCUUAGUUAAAAUGACCUUUUGUAAUUAGGUUGGGGUAUGCCAUUUCAACAAAACAUAUAAUUUAUGGACCUCAAAAGAGUAGUUCAAACAUCCUUUUAGCUGAAUUUCUCAUGGCCCUCGCAAACUUGAAAGUGCGUAGUUGCUUUAGGCGCUCUAUUUAAAUUUAUUUCCUUAAACUCAGGUGUGCAUUUCAUGUGACCCAACUCCAAUUUUCAACAACUUUAAAUAAAAUGUGUCAUAGACCACAGGUGCAUUUCAUGUGGCGUGGUUCAAGGCGUGUUUUAAAUAACGUUGAAUCUUCCUAAAAAAUAAUAAAUAAAAGCGGUUUUAAAUUUGAAACUGCACAUAGGUUUAAAAGUGUUUUAAAAUCAGAUAAUCAGGCCAAUAAUAACAGUUGAGCGACCGUUCUAAAACCACGGAAUUCGGGAAUGCCUAACACCUUCUCCCGGGUUAACAAAAUUCCUUACCCGGAUUUCUGUGUUCGCGGACUAUAAACAGAGUCAAUCCUUCCUCGAUUCGGAAUUUAAACCGGUGACUUGGGACACCAUAAAUUAUCCCAAGUGGUGACUCUGAAUUUUAAAUAAAUAAUCCUGUUUUCGAUUGUCACUUAAAUUGGAAAAAACUCCCUUAUACCCUUCCGGGGGUAGGAAAAAGGUGUGACAGCUCUAGCGACUCUACUGGGGAAGAGAACCCAGAACUUUUGGUUCAGGGUUCAGAAUUAGAUCUUGGAAUAUCUAUUAUAUUUGGCUUUAUUUAUUAUCUGGUUUUAUUUACAUGUUUGGGUUUAAUGUGCUAAAUGUUGCUUUUUACCGCUUUGAUAUUGUUGAACUGUAUAUAAAUUGAUAUGAAACCCUCCUCUCUCUGAGUCUUCUAAAUCAUCUAGGAAGUGUGCACUUCGUGUGACUUCUUUUCUGUUAGAGUCAUAUCCCAAUUUUAGAACGAGGUUCGGACAAGUUGCAAAGCUGGUGAAGCUUUUGUAUUCCUGGUACGCUGCCCCCCCUCCUCCCCGGCUCGAGCUGUCCGCUCGGGUAAACUAGGUCUAGAACAAAUAAACCCAGGUUUUUAAACCUAGAAUAACAUAGCCUCAUGCUGAAUCCCUUGUAGGAACGCUUGUUUGCAUCACGUGCAUAUGACUUUGGGGACUCAACACAGGGGUUGGGUCCGUCUAGGACAGGUGUAUCCAAAAUAACAGACCAUCUUGAUGCAUCCCAUGUGCUACAUAUUGCAUUUCUUCAAGGGUAAAAUGAUCAUUUGGCAGACCAAUGAUAGUUGAGGGCAAAUGAAAAAAGAAAAAAAAUGGUAAAGAAAAGAGGUUGAAGUAUAAAAAUGAGAAAAUGAAAAAAAAUCCAAAAAAAAAAGAGUUUACAUGUUUCAUUAUUUUUCAAAACAAAAGACAAAAAAUAUAUUUUCUCCAAAUCAAUUGUUUUUUUUAAUUCUCACCCGUAUCCAAUUUGCCCGAACUACGUAUACUUGAUUCUCGUCUUUCAGGGCGAGAUACAUAGGCAACCCACAUAGGGUCCGGUCUUCCUAGUGAAUCUUAUGUUCUUGGCUUUGCGGGGUCGUAGCCAAAUCUUACAUUUUUAGCCACAUUUAGCUACAUAGGUUAAUUUUAAAAAAAUAGUCACAAUCAUGUCUUGCAUGUGUCCAACAGGAAUGUUAUUAUCUCACGUAGUGGUCUAAAUAUUUAACUUUAUUUGGUCUUGAUUUUCUCAUACAGGUGUGGGUUUACUUACCAGAGUUUGAACAUGACAGUGCCCCAAUCAUCUAGUCAGGAUCGCUCAUUCAGGAGUAGAUUAAAAGGAGAUUUUCUUUUUUAUGUUUCGAGUCUAUUUUUUUUGUCGUCUUUUACUUUCUAGUUUUGUACAGUAAUGUCGAGUUUUUGUUAUUGUACUUUCUAUUUUGUAUUUGAAAAAGUGUGGUGUAACUCAAAAAUCCAAAAAAAAAAAAAGAUUUUGCGUUUUAUAUUUCCGUUAUAAAUUUUCUUUAGAAUAUUAAUUCUAGAAAUUAAAAAAAAAUCUUUUGAGGUGGUUUUCCU
rnacentral:lncRNA from 1 species